UAUUACCAUUAAAAUUUUCUCAACAUGUCAUCCUGCAAACUAUUAUCAUGAGGUCAUUUUGCACCGCCAUGGAUACAUCAUUGUAAUAUUUUGCCAUGGUGGCCAAGGAUUCUAAAAACCAAAACUGCAGAUCUGAAUGCAGGCACUGGGUUCAAGCUGAUCUGGAAUAGUAUGAAAGGCUCCAAGAUUCAUGUUCCCAGUUCCAAUUACCAGAGUAUAGGUCUUGAAGUAACAGACGGAAGUGAGUUGCUAGAGAUCCUUGGUGGUUCAUGCAAAUGACAAGGGAGGCUGUGUUGUUAUUAAUGGAACAUCUGUAGGUAACCCAAGUUGUCUUGAAAAAUAUAUGUUCCAUGUUGGUUGCUUCCAUGAUUGGAAGAACUGAAUCUUAGAAAAUACAACUUGGAUGGAUGAAAGGGCCAUUUGUUCAGUGAUUGUUUGCUGAGUUUCUGGUGGUCUGUUUAAUUCUUGUUAUACCUAAUUGGAUAAAGGAUCUUUUGGAAAUAAAUUAUAAAAAACUGAACUAGAUUCAGAUAUAUAGAAAGACUCUGCUACCCUUUAUGAAUUAUUAAUUCUCUCACAGCAUAAUUUAUAAGAGCUCUGCUGCAUUUUUCAUUGCUUACCAACAGGCCGCAUCUCUGAAAGUAGCCUUUUUUCAACCUAUUAUUCAUUUGUCGUUGUUGUUUGUAUUAUGAUGUUGCAUGUUUGUCAUUGCUUAGCAAGAGGCCUGACAUGAAGUCUGAAUUAGAUUCAGUCAUAUUUGUUGAGUUCUUAUUGCUUUCAUGUUUUUUUUCAAGAAACUGGGUUGAUUCUUUUUCCAUUCAAGACGGAUGCAUUAAGUUCUUUACUGAUAUUACUUACAUGGUUGUUUAUUGAAUACUUUCCCGUGAAACUACUUUUACUAAUCUUUUUGACAUAGUAUACUCAAUUUCUUUUGGUGUAUCAAGUAAUACAAAGUGAUUUUUAAUCAUAUACCAAGGUUAUCCCAUGUUCUUUUGUGAUGUAGAUGAUGUCAUUCUUGUUUUACUGUAUUUUUUUGGGAGUUCUAUGAUAAGUUGAGGCUUCAUUGUGGUGUGGGAAGCUAGGACUAUUCGGUUGCAGUUCAGGACUAUGGCUGGAGUUGCGGACAUCAGCGGCCGUCAUCAUCUUCAUGGCUUCAGCUGAGCGUGGCUGAGCCAGGGGUGAAGCAUGCAGCAGUUGCUAUCGCCUUUGUCCCUGCUAGAGCUGGUGCGGUGCACAGAGAGCAGGGCAGCUGUUGCCGACAACUACAACAACACAGACAUCGAGGACAUGGUUUAGCGCUUGUAGGUAUUGCUGACAGAAAAAUAAAUAUCCAUGUUUUCAUGGCUUCUGCAGCAUUUGCUUCUACAUUUAUGGGAAACUCACUAGAGAGAUGGAGGGUUUUCCGCUUCUUCAAUGUUUAAUUUAGCCCAGGCCUUUUUAUAUUUUCUUACAUACUUUAGAAUUCUCCCUAUUUCAGUUAUUGUUCGUAUAUUUACUGGUAGCUUCUCUUAUGUUGUUAUUUCUUACAGCUCCAGAUUACUUGACAAGAAAGUUAACGUAUGAUGUGAGGGAGAUUAAGGAAAAUCUUUCAGAAUUUGCACUGUUGUUUAAGUAUAAAUGGGGACAAGUUGGCACAGUUUUUUCAAAUCUAAGUUACACCAAAGUUCAUGUGAAGAUAUUUCAUCCAAGAUGCUGCUUGAUUGCUGUGCUAUAAUUUCGAAAUUUAAUUGAUCAGUACUGAUACUAUAUUGCUCCGUUCUACUCCAAGACUUUCACUAAGAUGCUGUUCGGUACUCAUUUUUUUAUGUUGUCUGUUCUUAGGUAAAUCCUUUAAAGGAAAUGAAGAGGUUUCAUCAAGUGAUUUUCUUAAUAGAGUUUUCAAUGUAAGGAACAUCAUUGUAAAAAGGCUAAUCAAAUUAUUUCCAACUUUUGGAUGCAA